rnacentral:rRNA from 1 species
UAUUGCUCUUUAACGAGGAAUCCCUAGUAAGCACAAGUCAUCAGCUUGUGCUGAUUACGUCCCUGCCCUUUGUACACACCGCCCGUCGCUACUACCGAUCGAAUGGCUUAGUGAGGCCUUCGGAUUGAGAUUUGGAGGCUGGUAACAGACUCUGGAUUUUGAGAAGUUGGUCAAACUUGGUCAUUUAGAGGAAGUAAAAGUCGUAACAAGGUUUCCGUAGGUGAACCUGCGGAAGGAUCAUUACCGAUAUUAGCGAACCUGACCUUCUGGGAUCAUGGUUUCGCGAAAACUUGUAUUUAAAACCCCACCCUUUGUAAUAUGAAUCAUUUUUGUAUGCAAAUUAAAUUAAGAUCACUUUCAACAACGGAUCUCUUGGCUCUCGCAUCGAUGAAGAACGUAGCGAAGUGCGAUAAGUAGUGUGAAUUGCAGAAUUCCGUGAAUCAUCGAAUCUUUGAACGCAAAUUGCACUCUCUUCGGAGAGUAUGCCUGUUUGAGGGUCGGUAUAAUAACUAAUAACCGGGGUGUUGCGAACAUUGUUGACGCUUCGGAGUUUGGGUCAUCUCAACCUUAAGGAUGAGAGGCUUAAAAUUGAUAACCAUUUGCGCAUUUUUUUUUGGACGUACAUAAAUAAUUUUAUCCCGUCUAAAGUCAAUGCCAAAUCUUUUUACUAGGUGCGGACAUAUCAUGUGUGAUUUCGUGCCUAUAAUUUUUCACUUUUCGACCUCAAAUCAGUAGGAGUACCCGCUGAACUUAAGCAUAUCAAUAAGCGGAGGAAAAGAAAAUAACAAUGAUUCCCCUAGUAACUGCGGUGAAGAGGACAAGCUCAAAUUUUAAAUCUGUUAGGAAUACCUGACCGAGUUGUAAUUUGAAGAAGCGUUUUUCUGCGCUUGUUUGAUCAGCCCAAGUCUUAUUGAUGAGCAUCAGGAGGGUGAUAUCCCGUACGGUGAUCAUUGCGUUCUUACGAUACGCUUUCUAGAGUCAGUUGUUUGGAAUGCAGCCUAAAUUGGGAAGUAAGUUUCUCUAAGGCUUAUUACGGCAGGACGAUAGCGACAGUACGUAGAGAUGAAGGUACUUUGCAAUAAGAGAG